rnacentral:ncRNA from 1 species
AUAUAACCUGGCAUGCUCUGUCUCAAAAUGUGAUACUCUCCUGCCAUGUCAUAAUACUGCAAAAAGGCACUCAUUAGAUGUCAGCACUUUGACAUUAGACUUCUCAGUCUCCAGAACCAUGAGCUAAAUACAUCUCUAUUCUUUAUAAAUUAUCCAGUCUGAUGUAUUCAGUUAUGACAACAUAAAACAGACUGGGACAACAAUUCUGAGUAGGCAGUGUCCCCCACAGCUUCUUAGAAGACUAAGUAGAGUUCAGCCACUCCUGACUGAAUGUUAACAAGUCUGUAAUGCCCUUAAAUAUGCAGGGCUGCACAAGUGCCUGCUACACUGAUUGUGUCAGGGUGUGCCUACGCUGUGCCAACCAUUACAGAUAAGGGUUUGAACCUCAUUUGAGAUGGGAAUUGGAGGUUACAAUAAUUCUCCCUGCUUGAGAAAUUUCCAAUAAAUAUAGGUCACAGACUUGCAAUGAUUAAGUCCUUGCUCUUCAUACAUAUGGCCAGUCACUAAUACCAGUUACAUGAUUUAGUAAGAUCUAAGACCAUGGCUCUGGUUGAGUGCUGAGAAAAUGGUCAUCAUAUGGUUUCAUCAUAGGUGAACCUAGAAAAAGAUCAAGA